rnacentral:rRNA from 1 species
AAGUCUGACGGAGCACGCCGCGUGAGCGAUGAAGGCCUUCGGGUCGUAAAGCUCUGUUGUUAGGGAAGAACAAGUACCGGAGUAACUGCCCGUACCUUGACGGUACCUAACCAGAAAGCCACGGCUAACUACGUGCCAGCAGCCGCGGUAAUACCUAGGUGGCAAGCGUUGUCCGGAAUUAUUGGGCGUAAAGCGCGCGCAGGCGGUUUCUUAAGUCUGAUGUGAAAGCCCACGGCUCAACCGUGGAGGGUCAUUGGAAACUGGGGAACUUGAGUGCAGAAAAAGAAAGCGGAAUUCCACGUGUAGCGGUGAAAUGCGUAAAGAUGUGGAGGAACACCAGUGGCGAAGGCGGCUUUUUGGUCUGUAACUGACGCUGAAGCGCGAAAGC